CCUACGGGUGGCUGCAGUGGGGAAUAUUGCACAAUGGGCGCAAGCCUGAUGCAGCGACGCCGCGUGGGGGAUGACGGCCUUCGGGUUGUAAACCUCUUUCACCAUCGACGAAGGUCCGGGUUUUCUCGGAUUGACGGUAGGUGGAGAAGAAGCACCGGCCAACUACGUGCCAGCAGCCGCGGUAAUACGUAGGGUGCGAGCGUUGUCCGGAAUUACUGGGCGUAAAGAGCUCGUAGGUGGUUUGUCGCGUUGUUCGUGAAAUCUCACGGCUUAAC
rnacentral:rRNA from 1 species